rnacentral:rRNA from 1 species
CGGAGAUAUAUGGAGCUUGCUUUAUAUAACUUAGCAGCGACCGGGUGAGUAACACGUAGAUAAUCUAUCCUAUACUGGGGGAUAGCCCGAUGAAAGUUGGAUUAAUACCGCAUAUAGCUAUAUAGUUGCAUGAUUAUGUAGUGAAAGAUUUAUUGGUAUAGGAGGAGUCUGCGGCACAUUAGCUAGUAGGUGAGGUAAAGGCUUACCUAGGCGACGAUGUGUAGCCGGUCUGAGAGGAUGAACGGCCACAAUGGAACUGAGACACGGUCCAUACUCCUACGGGAGGCAGCAGUGGGGAAUAUUGCACAAUGGGGGAAACCCUGAUGCAGCAACGCCGCGUGAGUGAAGAAGGUUUUCGGAUUGUAAAGCUCUGUUAGCAGGGAAGAGGAAGGACGGUACCUGCAGAGGAAGCCACGGCUAGCUACGUGCCAGCAGCCGCGGUAAUACGUAGGUGGCAAGCGUUGUUCGGAAUAACUGGGCGUAAAGGAUGCGUAGGCGGUUAAACAAGUUAUAUGUUAAAUAUAUAGGCUUAACCUGUAGAAAGCAUAUAAAACUGUUUAACUAGAGUGCAGGAGAGGUAAGUGGAAUUCCUAGUGUAGCGGUGAAAUGCGUAGAGAUUAGGAAGAACACCAGUGGCGAAGGCGACUUACUGGACUGUAACUGACGCUGAGGCAUGAGAGCAUGGGGAGCAAACAGGAUUAGAUACCCUGGUAGUCCAUGCUGUAAACGAUGGGUACUAGGUGUGGGUUGUGAAUAACAAUUCGUGCCGUCGCAAACGCAAUAAGUACCCCGCCUGAGGAGUACGAUCGCAAGAUUAAAACUCAAAGGAAUUGACGGGGACCCGCACAAGCAGC